CUGCACCAUUCCCAGCUGGAUUUUCCAUGGAAAAUUUGGAUUUUGGGAGCAAACUCGACCCUGUGGGGAUCUGUGGCAGGUGGAAAAAUGGGAAUUUUGUGUGGGAAUGUUCCAAAAUGGAUUUUUAGAAUCCCAAAUUCCUUGGGAUCGGAUUUUCCCGGGAUGCUUUCCCCAUGUCCUCUCGUGUCCCCAAUGUCCCCAAUGUCCCUGUGUGUCCCCAAUGUCCCUGUGUGUCCCCAAUGUCCCCAUGUCCCCAAUGUCCCUGUGUGUCCCCAUGUCCUCUCAUGUCCCCAUGUCCUCUCAUGUCCCCAAUGUCCCUGUGUGUCCCCCUGUCCCCAAUGUCCCAAAUGUCCCCAUGUCCCCAAUGUCCCUGUGUGUCCCCAUGUCCCCAAUGUCCCUGUGUGUCCCCAUGUCUCCAAUGUCCCCAAUGUCCCCAAUGUCCCCAAUGUCCCCAAUGUCCCCGUGUCCCCGCAGGGAUUCCCGUGGCAGGCGGUGAUGUCGGACAAGGGCGGCAGCAUGGACGGCAGGACGGACAUUGUCAACGCCUGUCCAGCAGCCCUGAGGACAUGUCAGCCGAGGAGAGCCGGUGUCACUGAGCUGUCCCCAUGGCAGUGUGACACUGGUGGCACUGCGAUGUCCCUGUGCCAGUCUCACACAGGUGACACUGAUGUCCCCUGUCCCCAGGCAGUACAGUGACACUGGUGUCACUGUGCUGUCC
rnacentral:lncRNA from 1 species